GAUGAAAGAACGUAGCGAAAUGCGAUACUUGGUGUGAAUUGCAGAAUCCCGUGAACCAUCGAGUCUUUGAACGCAAGUUGCGCCCGAAGCCAUCAGGUUGAGGGCACGUCUGCCUGGGCGUCACAUAUCGUUGCCCAAUGCCUAUUGCAGUGCAAUAGGAAUUUCUAGGGCGAAUGAUGGCUUCCCGUGAGCGUUGUUGCCUCGCGGUUGGUUGAAAAUCGAGUCCUUGGUAGGGUGUGCCAUGGUAGAUGGUGGUCGAGUUAGAACGAUACCGAUCAUGUGCAUGCUCCCCAAAAUAUGGCCUCUAUGACCCACACGCGUCUUUUGACGCUCAUGACGAGACCUCAGGUCAGGCGGGGCUACCCGCUGAAUUUAAGCAUAUCAAUAAGCGGAGGA
rnacentral:misc_RNA from 1 species